AUACGGAGGAUCCGAGCGUUAUCCGGAUUUAUUGGGUUUAAAGGGAGCGUAGGUGGAUUGUUAAGUCAGUUGUGAAAGUUUGCGGCUCAACCGUAAAAUUGCAGUUGAAACUGGCAGUCUUGAGUACAGUAGAGGUGGGCGGAAUUCGUGGUGUAGCGGUGAAAUGCUUAGAUAUCACGAAGAACUCCGAUUGCGAAGGCAGCUCACUGGACUGCAACUGACACUGAUGCUCGAAAGUGUGGGUAUCAAACAGGAUUAGAUACCCUGGUAGUCCACACAGUAAACGAUGAAUACUCGCUGUUUGCGAUAUACAGUAAGCGGCCAAGCGAAAGCAUUAAGUAUUCCACCUGGGGAGUACGCCGGCAACGGUGAAACUCAAAUGAAUUGGCGGGG
rnacentral:rRNA from 1 species